CCUCGGUGAUGAUCAAAUAACGAUGACGAGUCUGAUGAAAUUUCCAUUCAUUAAAAUACUGAUGACAAAACGAGGCAUUUGUCUGACAGGA
rfam:Lupinus angustifolius cultivar Tanjil contig_38406, whole genome shotgun sequence.